ensembl:lncRNA
GUAGUAACAGAGAGGAGAGACAGUAGACAGACGGUAGUAACAGAGGAGAGAGAGUCAGUAGACAGACGGUAGUAACAGAGAGGAGAGACAGUAGACAGACGGUAGUAACAGAGGGGAGAGUCAGUAGACAGACGGUAGUAACAGAGAGGAGAGACACAGUAGACAGACGGUAGUAACAGAGAGGAGAGAGACAGUAGACAGACGGUAGUAACGGAGAGGAGAGAGACAGUAGACAGACGGUAGUAACAGAGAGGAGAGACAGUAGACAGACGGUAGUAACAGAGGGGAGAGUCAGUAGACAGACGGAACAGACAGAGAGGAGAGUCAGUAGACAGACGGUAGUAACAGAGAGG